GAUGAACGCUGGCGGCGUGCCUAAUACAUGCAAGUCGAGCGAACGGACGAGAAGCUUGCUUCUCUGAUGUUAGCGGCGGACGGGUGAGUAACACGUGGAUAACCUACCUAUAGACUGGGAUAACUUCGGGAAACCGGAACUUAUUCCGGAUAAUAUUUUGAACCGCAUGGUUCCAAAGUGAAAGACGGUCUUGCUGUCACUUAUUGAUGGAUCCGCGCUGCAUUAGCUAGUUGGUAAGGUAACGGCUUACCAAGGGAACGAUGCAUAGCCGACCUGAGAGGGUGAUCGGCCACACUGGAACUGAGACACGGUCCAGACUCCUACGGGAGGCAGCAGUAGGGAAUCUUCCGCAAUGGGCGAAAGCCUGACGGAGCAACGCCGCGUGAGUGAUGAAGGUCUUCGGAUCGUAAAACUCUGUUAUUAGGGAAGAACAUAUGUGUAAGUAACUGUGCACAUCUUGACGGUACCGAAUCAGAAAGCCACGGCUAACUACGU
rnacentral:rRNA from 1 species